AAUAACCUCUAUUAAUUAAUACAUAAUAAACGGUACAUUGAAAUUAGGCAAUGGCGAUGGCAAUGGCGAUGGCGAUGGCGACUUCUUUGGGAUCUCUGGAUUUUGGUUUCAAUUUAUGUCUGGUUUAAUUUUAGGACAAAACAGAGUUCCAAGGAUAUGCUAUCUGACUGCUUAUUGAAUGGAGUUUGUUGGAAAGAGAAGGUAUGCAAUAUGGUUUUGGAUGGUUGGUAUUUUCUGGGGAUGACAGAAGAAAACGGACAAACAUAUAGAUCGUGUGAUUGCUUCUGGGAUCCAACGGUACACAACUUUGAGAAAUUCUCGAUUGAAAAAGAGGAUACAUCAGAGAAUAUGGAUGUGAACUUCAAAGUGUCCUGAAGAAUAUAGGUGGUUGGGAGCUGCAGUCUGUUUCAAGAGGCGUGAAUAAAGUUGCCUUUAUGAUUGCUAGGAGUGUUACGAUGUUAACAUAUAAUGUAGUCGUUCGUU